rnacentral:rRNA from 1 species
UUCUUAUAGAGAUGUUCAUAUGUUAUUGUUAUUAUUUAAAUCAUAGAUACAAUUAUUUUGUAGUAAAUGAUGACNAUNAAUUAUNAAUGUNGAGUNCGAUUGCUUGGUAGUGCAAUUGGAAUAUAGAUAGAAUAAAAUAUCUNAAGUUAAAUAUAAAUGACAUACCGAUAGAGAAUAAGUACUGCGAAGGAACUNGUGAAAAUNAUAGUAUUAUGCUNAUAGUNAU